rnacentral:lncRNA from 1 species
CCAGUGUGCUAUAACUCAUGGCCAGCCUGAGAGCAGUAGGUCCAGGCUGGGUGUGUAAGCAAGGAAAUGCUCUGUCCUGCUCCAGGGGGCUGAGUGAUGAACACGUUCACAAAGUGCUUUGCAGCAGAUGAUGCAGAUCCUCGCAUGAAUAUCCAACAGGCCGUGGAGGGUUCUCCAUAUUGCACUCAGACACCAAAUACACACCUGACAAUUCUGCAAAUGUUCAAGGAAUUUUGUACAGCCCGAGUCAGAUGAGAUUUUGCAAUGGUUUCUGAGAUGGGAAGUUUUAUAUUUUGCAGUUAGUAUCAACUUAAUGAGGACCUUGUAGUUGAGUUAGAAGUUGGUCUCUUCAAUGCAAAGGAAAUGCUGGAAUUGCACCUCCUGGGGCAUUGCUUCAGGGUGAUGUUCCAUCACUAAAGACAGACAAACCCCUUUGCUCUCUGCCUGGAGAAUAGCAGCACCAGGAGAUUUCGGUGGGAAAAGUCACAAAGCAUAAUGCCAGCAGCAGUAUUUUCCGCUACCUAAUCU